GUCAGAUGCUUUAGUUAAUCAGUGCCAAUCAUUAACACUUGUUUUCAGAUGCUGUCCUACUCGAGUGCUCAGACUUUGCAUUUUGACAACUCAGGUGUGUAGUAGUUAGACUAUAUGUUCUAUUCUGAAAGUGACCUUGAAUCUUCAGUGUAUAGCAAGAAUCAGCCUCAAAUACCUUUAGAAGCUGAUAGUACUAAAGAACCUGAAAAAGGAAGCAUUUUAAAAUCAUUAUUUUGAAGAUGGGGAAGCUAUUAAGACAGUAUUUGCAGCACUUUGUUGUAAUGAUAAAGGUCAUACAUCUGUAUUUCAAGAAGGCUUUAUAUGAUUGGAAGAUGAAUAUAAAUUUUAUCUUUUCAUGAAAAAGAAGUUUGAUGCUGUAAUCUGAAGUAAAAAGAAGUGACUUUCUAAAACGCUGGGUUCAUUAUUUUCUUGGAGUUGAUGUAACAAUCUGAC
rnacentral:lncRNA from 1 species